rnacentral:rRNA from 1 species
GGUCAAGCUACAAAGGGCGCACGGUGGAUGCCUUGGCGUCACGGGCCGAUGAAGGACGUGGCAAGACUGCGAAAAGCCUCGGCGAGCUGUCUAGCAAGCUGAACCGGGGAUUUCCGAAUGGGGCAACCCGGCCCGCGUGAUGGCGGGUCACGACCGGCUGAACACAUAGGCCGGAUCGAGGGAACCGGGGGAACUGAAACAUCUCAGUACCUCGAGGAGAAGAAACAAUUCCCCUAGUAGCGGCGAGCGAACGGGGAGCAGCCCAAACCGUUCCCACAUGUGGGGGCGGGGUUGCAGGACCGGCGACACGGGAGCGCCGGCACGGAUAGCCGAAGGACCUGGAACGGUCCGCCGAAGGGGGUGAGAGCCCCGUAGGCGAAAUCCGUGCGGCUCCCGCCGGGAUCCUGAGUACCACGGGACACGAGAAAUCCCGUGGGAAUCCGGGGAGACCACUUCCCAAGGCUAAAUACCCGUGACGACCGAUAGCGAACCAGUACCGUGAGGGAAAGGUGAAAAGCACCCCGGGAGGGGAGUGAAACAGUCCCUGAAACCGUGUGCCUACAAGCAGUCGGAGCCUGGCGCAAGCCGGGUGACGGCGUGCCUAUUGAAGAAUGAGCCGACGAGUUGCGUUCCGUGGCAAGGUUAAGCGACGGGAGUCGCGGAGCCGGAGCGAAAGCGAGUCUGAACAGGGCGUCCACAGUCGCGGGAUGCAGACCCGAAACCUGGUGAGCUACCCAUGGGCAGCGUGAAGCGAGGGUAAGACCUCGUGGAGGCGCGAACCUUCCUACGUUGCAAAGUGGUUGGAUGACCUGUGGGUAGGGGUGAAAUGCUAAUCGAACCAGGAGAUAGCUGGUUCUCCCCGAAAUGCGUUUAGGCGCAGCCUCGUGUGAUGUGCACUGGAGGUAGGGCUCUGGUUGGGCUAGGGGGCUUACCGCUUACCAAACCCAUCCAAACCGCGAAUGCCAGUGCAUAAGAAUACGGGAGUGAGACAGCGGGGGCUAAGCUUCGUUGUCGAAAGGGAAACAGCCCAGACCCUCGGCUAAGGCCCCUAAAUCCAUGCUUAGUGUGAAAGGAUGUCCGGUCGCAAAGACAGCCAGGAUGUUGGCCCAGAAGCAGCCAUCAUUCAAAGACUGCGUAACAGCUCACUGGUCGAGUGAUCGGGCGCCGACAAUGUACCGGGGCUCAAGCAUGGUGCCGAAGCCAGGGGAUCGCUGCCCCCUCGGGGGGAGCGGUCGGUAGGGGAGCGUUCCGCGCAGCAGUGAAGCCGGCAGGGUGACCUCCGGUGGAGUGCGCGGAAGUGAGAAUGUCGGCAUGAGUAGCGUAAUUCCGGUGAGAAACCGGGACACCGUAAGCCCAAGGGUUCCUACGCAAGGUUUAUCCGCGUAGGGUUAGGCGGGCCUAAGCCGAGGACGAGAGUCGUAGGCGAUGGACAGCAGGUUAGUAUUCCUGCCCCACCGCGGCUGCGUUCGAGGCAGGAGGGGUGACCUGGAAGGAUAGGCUGGGCGGGCCAACUGGACAUGGUCCGUUCUUCAGCCGUAGGCGUCCGGAGGUAGGCAAAUCCGCCUCCGGGUCAAGCGGAGGGCUGGAGAGAAGCGGAGACGUCAGUCAAAGCGACCCGGUCGAGUCCAUGCCAGCAAGAAAAGCCUCGCUGCCGAGCAACCGCGGUGCCCGUACCGCAAACCGACACUGGUGGGCGGCGGUAAGUACCGUCAGGUGAUCGAGAGAACCUUCGUUAAGGAACUCGGCAAUCUCGCUCCGUAACUUCGGGAGAAGGAGCGCCCUGGCCGGUGAAGGACUUCGCGUCCUGAGCACGGCCGGGGCCGCAGAGAGCAGGCCCAGGCGACUGUUUAACAAAAACACAGGUCUCUGCGAACGCGUAAGCGGAUGUAUAGGGGCUGACGCCUGCCCAGUGCCGGAAGGUUAAGGGGAGCGGUGCAAGCCGCGAACCGAAGCCCCGGUGAACGGCGGCCGUAACUAUAACGGUCCUAAGGUAGCGAAAUUCCUUGUCGGGUAAGUUCCGACCCGCACGAAUGGCGUAACGAUCUGGGCGCUGUCUCAACGAAGGACUCGGCGAAAUUGAAAUGGCCGUGAAGAUGCGGCCUACCCGCAGCCGGACAAAAAGACCCCGUGGAGCUUUACUGCAGCUUGGCGCUGGAGGCCGGGCUUGGACUGCGUAGGAUAAGUGGGAGGCUGUGAACCGUUCCUCUUGGGGAGCGGGGAGCCAUCAGUGAAAUACCACUCUUCCAGGUUUGUCCUCCUAACCUGUGAGCAAGCAUGGGAACAGCGCCUGGUGGGCAGUUUGACUGGGGCGGUCGCCUCCCAAAAGGUAACGGAGGCGCGCAAUGGUCCCCUCAGGGUGGAUGGCAAUCACCCGACGCGUGUAUUGGCAGAAGGGGGCUUGACUGCGAGACGGACAUGUCGAGCAGGGACGAAAGUCGGCCAAAGUGAUCCUACGGUCCCGUGUGGAAGGGCCGUGGCUUAUCGGAUACAAGCUACCCCGGGGAUAACAGGCUGAUCCUGCCCAAGAGUUNNNNNNNNNNGGGUUCAGAACGUCGUGAGACAGUUAGGUCUCUAUCCUCUGUGGGCGUAGGAGGCUUGAGGAGCGCUGCCCCUAGUACGAGAGGACCGGGGUGGACGGACCUCUGGUGUGCCGGUUGUCCCGCCAGGGGCAUCGCCGGGUAGCCAAGUCCGGAACGGAUAAGCGCUGAAAGCAUCUAAGCGCGAAGCCAACUCCAAGAUGAGGCCUCCCACUGGGUGAACCAGGUAAGACCGCGGGAAGACUACCCGCUUGAUAGGCCACAGGUGGAAGCGCAGCAAUGCGUGUAGCUGAGUGGUACUAAUGGUCGAGGGCUUGACCCUUCA